GGGUGGUAAUGCCGGAUGCUCCAGUUGACCGCAUGGUCCUCUGGGAAAGCUUCAUCGGUAUGGGAUGGGGUCGCGUCCUAUCAGCUUGAUGGCGGGGUAACGGCCCACCAUGGCUUCGACGGGUAGCCGGCCUGAGAGGGCGACCGGCCACAUUGGGACUGAGAUACGGCCCAGACUCCUACGGGAGGCAGCAGUGGGGAAUAUUGCACAAUGGGCGCAAGCCUGAUGCAGCGACGCCGCGUGCGGGAUGACGGCCUUCGGGUUGUAAACCGCUUUUGACUGGGAGCAAGCCCUUCGGGGUGAGUGUACCUUUCGAAUAAGCACCGGCUAACUACGUGCCAGCAGCCGCGGUAAUACGUAGGGUGCAAGCGUUAUCCGGAAUUAUUGGGCGUAAAGGGCUCGUAGGCGGUUCGUCGCGUCCGGUGUGAAAGUCCAUCGCUUAACGGUGGAUCCGCGCCGGGUACGGGCGGGCUUGAGUGCGGUAGGGGAGACUGGAAUUCCCGGUGUAACGGUGGAAUGUGUAGAUAUCGG
rnacentral:rRNA from 1 species